AUGGCCUGCCUUCCCAGGAGUACCUGCUAUGGUGAAUUUGUCCACAUUUGCUUUCAGAGGCCAGAACAUUUUAAUCAAAGAAGUACAAACUUUUAAAAAACUUUACAAAUUUACUUUUGCUCCAUCCCUGUCUUGGAACUUCUGCAUGCCAGGGGCACCCACCAAAAAAAAAAAAAAAAAAAAAAAAAAAAAAAUUUAAAAUGACAGCCUUUAAUUACCAGGUCUUCCCCCUGCCCUCCCCUCCUCCGCAUCUCCCAGAGGAGCACUUGGACUUCAUUCCAGAAUAGCCCCAUAGACUUUUAGGGUUUUGAGUUCCCAGAGGAACCUCCCAAAGCCUCCCCAAAUCCAGGAAGAUUAGCCCUUGAAGGUCAUAGGGUCUGAGGAUGGCAAAUCCAUGGCCUCUCCUUGGUACCCAGCUUUCCAGGCUGGUGGAUCCUGAGAACAGGUCCCAUGCUCUCUUCCCAGAGUCCCCAUGUAACCUCGGUCAUCGCAGGCACCACCACCAGGACACUGGAACGGGAACUUGACAUGCAGUUUAUUCGUGCCCUCUAAUUUCCUCCCAGAGCAGACAUUCCGGGGUAGGUUCCUGUGGUCCAAGGGGUGAGUCAUCUGUCCACAGUUACAUACCUGGUGAGUGGCAGGCUAGUUUUGACUCCCAGUCUAGAGCUUUCCACUCUCGUAGGCCACCCUGCUCCACUGCAUAAGCUCCAAUCCUGUGAUGCACCUGCUCAAAAGCGGCCGAAGCGCCCUUUUACCUACAAGCUCUGUUCUUCCUGACACUCAGGGCCUCUGUAACGAAAAAGUUGUAUGAAGGGCACUUUAUCAAAUGCGGGUAAGCCAUUGUGUGCAGGGUGCUUAGCAGAGGUGAUGGGUUGAGUCAGAUGUCCAAGCUCUGUCUUCAGGGAGUUUGCAGGCUAGUUCAGGGCUAGAGGUAUAAGCUUAGUUGAAGAAUACUUGGAAUUCCAGGCAAAAAGGGAUAGUUUUCAUCUGAGGGAGAAAGUGCUUUUGCAGCUCAAAUGCAGGCAGGAUGAUCAAUGGCUGAAUAACCAGCGAAGACUUGGGAGAGAGAUGGCAUUGAGUUGAUGUUAAGAGAAAAAGAGAGCUGUGGGCCUGUUGGCUGGGACACCGAGGCAAGUCACAGAGAUGACGGAUGGCUUGUGUCUGAGCUGCAGGGAAUGCUUGGCUGGAUAAUGUAGCUGCAGGUGGAAGAUAAGCCAGAAAAAAUGGCAGUGUGUCAUGGAGCAUCUUGAAUGUUGGACCAUCAGCUGAUACGUAAUUUAGGAAGUAAUUGGGAGCCAUUGAAGGUUUUCGAGAAGGGGAAUUAAGUGAUUGGGACUGUAUUUUAAUAAGAUGAAGUUGGCUUUGGUGGUCUGGGUAGAUCAGAGCAGGGGACUCCCCCACCCCUUCCUCAUUCUGAAUUAAUAUCACUUAAAAAAAGAGUCACAGAGACUCAGCAGCUGGGAGUUUAGGUAAAGAGGCAUUUAGGCCUCCCAGCCAAUUUCAGACACAGACGGAUGUUGUCAGUCUAGGAGGAGGAGGUGCUGGAGCAGAGCUGGCGCCCUUUGAAAAUAAAUGGCAGCCAUCGUGCCCCCGAAGCCAGUGUCUGCUGAGUUAAUGAGAAGGCAUGUUUCAGGGACCUGUCAUUCUCAGCACGUGGGAUGGCUGCGGGCCGUUGUGUGGAGCAGGUGAAAGUGUAGCCGAAGAAUGCUGGAGAUACAAAGAAAACAUUGACAUUAAAGAUUUGUGGUCUAGUGUAAUUCUUUAAAAUGCUCAGUAAUCAAUCUGUCAGGGUUAAUGACCAUGCAGAUGUAUCUCCUAUUAUUUUUUUAAAGACCUUUGAGUUAUUUGGAGCAUUUUGGUUGAUUUUUCAUGGUAUGUAAAGUGCUAAAAGUAUUGUUCUAGUUUUAAAAUGAGAAAACUGUGAGACAUUGAGGCCAGGUCAUCUGGUAUAAUCCUUUCCGAGCUGAAGUAAUUGAAUGGAGAAGAGAGCAAUUCUAUGUUCCGUUUUUGCUAUUUUCCUCAAUCUCCAGCAGUGUUUGGUUAAGACGUCUUUAUUGGAGUUCCCUGAUGGCACAGUGGGUUAAGGACCUGGCGGUAUUACUGAAGCGGCUCAGAUUGCUGCUGUGAUGAGGGUUUGAUCCCUGGCUCAGGAACUUCCACAUGCCUCAGGGACUGCCUCUCCCCCCACCCCCCAAAAAAAGUCUUUUUUGACCAAACCCAUCUUUCUCAAAUGUCCCCUCUCCUUAGACACGCAUUUCCUCUGUCUCUUUGUCACCCUCACUGGCCCAGCCCUGUUGUUCCUUAGUGAUCCCAUUGGAUUUUCCAUGUGCUUAUGCUUAUAUUGUAACACACUGUUAGACACCUUCUUACCCACCUGUGCUCCUAUCAGACCAUGGCCUCUGGGAGAGCACAGCUCCUGUUCCUCCUCCACUGCAGUGUGUAAGUGCUCCUCGGAUGUCAAAUAAAUGGGUACCUAAUCCACACUUGCUGUGACAUUGGCGUGGGCUUUGGGGAGUAAAUCGAGGACUGUGGUCCUUGCUGUGAUUAUGCAAAUGCCCCGAUGAAUGAGGGGGGUAGAUACUGUUGUGGCGCCGUCCCCAUUUUAUAGGUUGGAAGAGUGAGGCUUAGAGGUCACCCCAAGGAUGUCCGAGGCAGACAGAAAGGACACUGAUGACCUCUUGGUCUUCAUACCCUACUGCUGCGAAAAGCCCUUGGAUAGAGGAUGUCAAGCACUCGUAGGGAACUGUGGGUGCUGUGUCAGGCAUUGGAGGGUCCAGGAUAAAGGCGAGGCAUGUGUGGGACCUCGAGGGGCUGUCCCUGAAGUGGUGGUGGAAUAUGCAGAUGCAGGUCCGCUAACAUUCACGGGAGGGGUCCAUGGUCCAGGCGCCGGCUAACUGAGAAGGAAUUGGUGACGUGCUGGAGGGAGCGCAGAAGAGCGGCCAGUUCUUGUCCAGCAGUUUAAAGACUGGCUUGGAGUUCCGGCAGUGGCACAGCAGGAUCGGCGGCAUCUCUGGGGGACUGGGACACAGAUUUGAUCCCCCUGGGGAUGGCCAAAAAAAAGAGAAAAGCCUGGCUCCAUCCGGAUGGAGGUGAGUGGGAUGAGUUGGUGGGACAGCGGUCAGAGUGACUGCAGGGCUGACUGCGUCCUUUGGUGAUGAUUCUGUCAGACCAGUUGCAGGCAGUCUUUUAGGUUGUAGAGGUGGGUGACAGGGUUGGUCGGGGUGGUGGUCUGAGCCCAGGGCCCCAGGCUGCAGUGUGCGGGGUCGGUGGAGGAACGGCCAGUCCUGAGAGUCAGCCUCGUCCUCUCGCCCUCCGGUGGCUGCAGUGUGUGCCUCAGCAGAGCGUGGGCCAGCUUGGUUCCGUGGGGAGCCAGGGUGUGUUGACAGUGAGAUCAGUUUGAGAGUGAGGUCGGUGGACGAUGGCACUCAUUCAGCUUUGGAGGAAGCAGAAGUCCAGGAGUUCCCGCAGCCUGGGGAGGGGAGGUGUGAGCACGUGUGUUCCCAGGUUUGGGAGCAGUAAGGGCGGAGCACCGAGCUUGACAGUGAGUGAGCUCGAGCUCGGCCCUGAGAACUGGGUACUUGCCUGUUUAGACGGAGUCACACCCAUCCGAGCUGUGCCCGUGCCCGGGUGGGGCUCACAGGUGGUGGCACGUGUGUAGGGCAGCGGCUGGGGCUGGGGCCAGGCACCGAGCCCUUUGCCUGGCUCUGCUGCCCGGUGCUCAGAGCAUAAAGGUGGACAAGGGCCACGUCAGGGCUCCUUUGCCAAAGUCUCCUGUCUUGACCCUCGCAGAGCGACAGUGCCAGGGCUGUGGGUGGUAAACUUGGAUCUGGGAACCUUCUUAAGUGCUUCAGUCCAGUGGAGUAAUGGAAGAAACAACAUAAGGAGAUGAAGAUGAGAGAGACUUUCAAGGAAACAAACAUUUGCACCUGUGUUUGCAAAAAGCGAAUUCACGCUGCCUUUGGGGAUCUUGGUUUCUCAUCCCUUAUCAUUAUGGAUUUUCUUUUUCCCCCCAUAUUCUUAUGAAUUUGGAGAUCACACUAAGAUAAUCAUAUGCUACUUUAAAAACAUUAACAUUUUCUUCUAUUAAUGUUAUAAUAUUAAUGUUUAAAUGGCUUACAUAUUUCUUUGUAUGGCUAUAUUUACAGAGCCUUUCUUUCUAGAUAUUUAACUCGUUUUUUGUACAUAACCCUGCACUGAAAUUACUUAUAUGUAAAUACAUAUCCAAAUAUCCAGUAUUGUCUUUAGAUUCCCGAAGAGGAAUUCAUGAGUUAAAGGAAAUAGACUAUUGUAUAUUGCCAUGUUGCUUAUUAGAAUGGCUGUAAUUUUGUAGUCUCACCAGCGUACCAACAUUUGAGAAAGUAAUGCUUCAUUUCACCUCUAUGUACUUAUGUCCUUUAAACAUUUUUGCUAAAUUCAUUCAAGAGUCAUAAUUAAAGGGAGUUCCCUGGUGGUCUAGUGAUAAGGACUUGGCGUUUUCACCGGUACAGCCCAUGUUCAAUCCCUGGCCUUGAAACUGAGAUCCCACAUUAAGCUGCUGCAC
rnacentral:lncRNA from 1 species